rnacentral:rRNA from 1 species
AACGACUCUCGGCAACGGAUAUCUCGGCUCUCGCAUCGAUGAAGAACGUAGCGAAAUGCGAUACUUGGUGUGAAUUGCAGAAUCCCGUGAACCAUCGAGUCUWUGAACGCAAKUUGCGCCCGAAGCYAUCRSGCMGAGSGCACGUCUGGCUGGGUGUCACACAGCA